rnacentral:rRNA from 1 species
AUUGAACGCUGGCGGUAGGCCUAACACAUGCAAGUCGAACGAGUGGCGGACGGGUGAGUAAUUUCUGGGAAACUGCCUGAUGUAGGGGUAUAACUACUGGAAACGGUAGCUAAUACCGCAUACCAUCGGAUGUGCCCAGGGGGGAUUAGCUAGUAGGUGGGGUAACGGCUCACCUAGGCGACGAUCCCUAGCUGGUCUGAGAGGAUGACCAGCCACACUGGAACUGAGACACGGGCCAGACUCCUACGGGAGGCAGCAGUGGGGAAUAUUGGACAAUGGGCGCAAGCCUGACGCAGCCACGCCGCGUGUAUGAAGAAGGCCUUCGGGUUGUAAAGCACUUUCAGUGGGGAGGCGUUACCCGCAGAAGAAGCACCGGCUAACUCCGUGCCAGCAGCCGCGGUAAUAC